rnacentral:rRNA from 1 species
UACGGGGGGAGCAAGCGCUGUUCGGAUUUACUGGGCGUAAAGGGCGCGUAGGCGGCGUGACAAGUCACUUGUGAAAUCUCCGGGCUUAACUCGGAACGGUCAAGUGAUACUGUCGUGCUAGAGUACAGAAGGGGCAACUGGAAUUCUCGGUGUAGCGGUGAAAUGCGUAGAUAUCGAGAGGAACACCUGCGGCGAAGGCGGGUUGCUGGGCUGAUACUGACGCUGAGGCGCGGAAGCCAGGGGAGCGAACGGG